GGGGGUGACUGGCUUCGACUUCGGUGGUUGAUCCAGGGGAAGCGGGCCGAGGACUGCGGACAUAACCUCGUUAAUCCUGUGACCGCAAACCAAUAAGUGCCAAUGUUAAGCGCACGCACCUCGCCCUCGCGGCCUGACGCGAGUUAGAGGUUGUCAGCCCGGGAACGCCUCCGGCCCGGUGUCUGGCAUCAGUGAGGAGGAUCCACCGUUCCGCCCGGUCGCGGGGAGGAACGGGACACCCAACAGCGACUGAGCCCGUCGGCAGCUAGCCUGCGUGACUGCCGGGGCUGAGAAAAGCACAGCAGGCUGCGCCCGGAGAAGCCCUGGUGAUGCACUGAAGGACGCGGGUUCGAUUCCCGCCACCUCCAA
rnacentral:tmRNA from 1 species